rnacentral:rRNA from 1 species
GAUGAGCGCUGGCGGCGUGCCUAAUACAUGCAAGUCGAGCGAACGGACGAGAAGCUUGCUUCUCUGAUGUUAGCGGCGGACGGGUGAGUAACACGUGGAUAACCUACCUAUAAGACUGGGAUAACUUCGGGAAACCGUAGCUAAUACCGGAUAAUAUUUUGAACCGCAUGGUUCAAAAGUGAAAGACGGUCUUGCUGUCACUUAUAGAUGGAUCCGCGCUGCAUUAGCUAGUUGGUAAGGUAACGGCUUACCAAGGCAACGAUGCAUAGCCGACCUGAGAGGGUGAUCGGCCACACUGGAACUGAGACACGGUCCAGACUCCUACGGGAGGCAGCAGUAGGGAAUCUUCCGCAAUGGGCGAAAGCCUGACGGAGCAACGCCGCGUGAGUGAUGAAGGUCUUCGGAUCGUAAAACUCUGUUAUUAGGGAAGAACAUAUGUGUAAGUAACUGUGCACAUCUUGACGGUACCUAAUCAGAAAGCCACGGCUAACUACGUGCCAGCAGCCGCGGUAAUACGUAGGUGGCAAGCGUUAUCCGGAAUUAUUGGGCGUAAAGCGCGCGUAGGCGGUUUUUUAAGUCUGGUGUGAAAGCCCACGGCUCAACCGUGGAGGGUCAUUGGAAACUGGAAAACUUGAGUGCAGAAGAGGAAAGUGGAAUUCCAUGUGUAGCGGUGAAAUGCGCAGAGAUAUGGAGGAACACCAGUGGCGAAGGCGACUUUCUGGUCUGUAACUGACGCUGAUGUGCGAAAGCGUGGGGAUCAAACAGGAUUAGAUACCCUGGUAGUCCACGCCGUAAACGAUGAGUGCUAAGUGUUAGGGGGUUUCCGCCCCUUAGUGCUGCAGCUAACGCAUUAAGCACUCCGCCUGGGGAGUGCGACCGCAAGGUUGAAACUCAAAGGAAUUGACGGGGACCCGCACAAGCGGUGGAGCAUGUGGCUUAAUUCGAAGCAACGCGAAGAACCUUACCAAAUCUUGACAUCCUUUGACAACUCUAGAGAUAGAGCCUUCCCCUUCGGGGGACAAAGUGACAGGUGGUGCAUGGUUGUCGUCAGCUCGUGUCGUGAGAUGUUGGGUUAAGUCCCGCAACGAGCGCAACCCUUAAGCUUAGUUGCCAUCAUUAAGUUGGGCACUCUAAGUUGACUGCCGGUGACAAACCGGAGGAAGGUGGGGAUGACGUCAAAUCAUCAUGCCCCUUAUGAUUUGGGCUACACACGUGCUACAAUGGACAAUACAAAGGGCAGCGAAACCGCGAGGUCAAGCAAAUCCCAUAAAGUUGUUCUCAGUUCGGAUUGUAGUCUGCAACUCGACUACAUGAAGCUGGAAUCGCUAGUAAUCGUAGAUCAGCAUGCUACGGUGAAUACGUUCCCGGGUCU